rnacentral:misc_RNA from 1 species
UUCAGCCCCCACACUAUUUUGAAGCCAGCACCGUCGUUAUAGUUCACCAUUGCCGUUUCUCCCUCGCUGUCGCCGAUUCCGUCGUUUUUGUUCACUUCUUUGAUGACAUCACCGUCUUUGUUUAGUUUUAACUGAAGGAGCUAUAUAGUUGCCCACCUUUCUCCCUCGCUUCCUAUUUAGAAAAUCGUUUCCUUUUAGAAUUUCAGCGCCUUGAAGGAAUUCAAUAAUUUUCCCAAGUCAAAUGCCUAUAAACUGAGGUUUAGCUUAUAGAAACUUCAUUUGUGGCAAAACUUUUGAGAUUAUGCAGUUUCUAGUUGUUAACUCGCGUGAGCGCAAUCUGGAUAUUGAUGGGUAUUUGCGCUUAUUCAAAAAC